GCACGGGUGGACAUCCGUACAUGUAACAGGGUGGAACGAAAAAAUAAAUAAAAGAUCAGGCACUUUUUACAAGAUAUGUUAAGACUUGUUGGAGACUCCAUGAUGAGACUGCAAGGCUAGCUGACCUAAAAACAGAGCUAGAUUGUACAGAUGGAGUGGUUUCACAGUGGCUAUCUGAUGUAAAGGAAUGGGCAGCAGGUGACAGCAGCAAGUUUGCCUUCGAAGGAAGCUGGCAGAAGACAAAAAAACUCCUCCUUCAGGAGAUACAAAAAUACAGUGAUCUCGUACUAGAAUCAGCAACAAUCAUUGAGUACGUUUACAUGCACAGAAUAAGCGGAUAACUAUUAAAAAUCUGCUUACUAUAGAAAACUGUUUUCAUGUGUUUACAUGCAAAUCAAUAAGCCGGCUAUGCAGUCAACUGCGUUUACAUGGGACUUGGAGAAUUAUCAGUUUUCUCGCAGGCAGUGACGUCACCACCUAUAGUACACAAUAGUCGAUCAAAAAGCCGACGGCAUAUCUGUCUUAAGCUAUAUUGUUGUAUCUCUUCUCUUGUCUGCAGAACCUGUAAAUGUAACAUGAGCUGCUAUUUUAACAGUUUCUCUGCCAACUGCUUUAGUCGAGCGGAGACUUUUAUGCAUUACUUUGCACUUACUUCCGCGUGUGACGUUUAUCUUUCAUACGCGGAGAUAUGCGCACAUGGACAAAACCGUGAGAAAGCCGGUUAAGGUGUUUACAUGCCAAGUGAAAUCGGCGUAAUGAGCAAAAAACUACCUGUGCCGAUCGGUUUUUGCUUACGCCGUUUACGGGCUUUCCCCGAUUAAAGAAAACCGCUUUACGCGUUUACAUGACACCACGUGUUAUCAGUUUAUUAAGCAUAAUCGGCGUAAGACUGUGCAUGUAAACGCACUCAUUGACGUAGCUGUGGUGGAGCAUUCCCUUACCGGAAAGAGUACUGUGGUAUGUCUGUUUUUAGAUGCUUCACAGUAAUUUAUUUACAGUUAUGCUUUAUAGAGUAUACUGAACUAAGGCAUGCAUGUUACAUAUUGAGUGUUGUAAUAUUAAUUUAGUAUUUUCAGUUUUCUUAUGUAUCAAUUUGAUAAA